rnacentral:rRNA from 1 species
GACGAACGCUGGCGGCGUGCUUAACACAUGCAAGUCGAACGGAAAGGCCCUUCGGGGUACUCGAGUGGCGAACGGGUGAGUAACACGUGGGUGAUCCGCCCUGCACUUUGGGAUAAGCCUGGGAAACUGGGUCUAAUACCGAAUAUGAUCAUCAGCUUCAUGGUUGGUGGUGGAAAGCUUUUGCGGUGUGGGAUGGGCCCGCGGCCUAUCAGCUUGUUGGUGGGGUAAUGGCCUACAAAGGCGACGACGGGUAGCGGGGCUGAGAGGGUAACCGGACUAACGGGGACUGAGAUACGGCCCAGACUCCUGCGGGAGGCAGGAGUGGGGAAUAUUGCACAAUGGGCGCAAGCCUGAUGCAGCGACGCCGCGUGAGGGAUGACGGCCUUCGGGUUGUAAACCUCUUUCAGCACAGACGAAGCGCAAGUGACGGUAUGUGCAGAAGAAGGACCGGCCAACUACGUGCCAGCCGCCGCGGUAACAC